GAGUGGCUAUGGAGUUUUUUCACCAAUUAAUUGCAUUUUCUGUCUCUGACUUCAUAAGAUGGGAAAAGCGGUGGCCAUCCCCAGCUCAGGCUUCAAGCAACUGACAGGAUGAACAAAGUGGGGAAGGAGGUCCGCUUUGAAGUACAACACAGAUGACACCAUCAGGGACUUGAGGAAACUGAUCGUGGCCCCAAUGGGCACCUGCUGGAAUAAGAUCAUCCUUAAGAAGUAGUACCCCAUCUUCAAGGACCACGUGUCUCUGGGUGACUAUGAGAUCCACGGCUGCAUGAACCUGAAAUUGUACUAUCAGUAGAGAUCCCUACCUGCCCUUGCUUAAUGACCCCCUUCACCCUCACCCAGCUCCCAUGCUGCUAUGGGCACCUGUUUAUAAUGGUGCAUGCCAAUAAAACAAUUAAGAGCCCCUUCUCCCUUAAAAAAAGAAAGAUUCUUUGACAUUACAUAAUAAAAAGAAAGUAAUAAUAAAAUUUUCC